GGGAAGAUGGCCGAGCGGUUAUGGCGUAAGUGACCACUAUUUACUAGUUGGGUAACCUUCGUGGGUUCGAGUCCCACUCUUCUCA
rnacentral:tRNA from 1 species